AGACCACGACUUUAGGCCGCGACGCGUUCAAA
rnacentral:sRNA from 1 species